rnacentral:rRNA from 1 species
AUUUUGGGCAAUGGCCGAAAGGCUGACCCAGCGACGCCGCGUGCGGGAGGACGCCCUUCGGGGUGUAAACCGCUGUCAGAGGGGACGAAUGACUCAUGCGGGAAUACUGCAUGGGAGUGACGGUACCCUCAGAGGAAGCACCGGCUAACUCUGUGCCAGCAGCCGCGGUAAUACAGAGGGUGCAAGCGUUGUUCGGAAUUAUUGGGCGUAAAGCGCACGUAGGCGGUGACGUAUGUCGGGUGUGAAAGCCCUCAGCUUAACUGAGGAAGUGCGCCCGAAACUACGUCGCUAGAGUGUCGGAGAGGGUGGCGGAAUUCCCGGUGUAGAGGUGAAAUUCGUAGAUAUCGGGAGGAACACCAGUGGCGAAGGCGGCCACCUGGACGAACACUGACGCUGAGGUGCGAAAGCGUGGGUAGCAAA